rnacentral:ncRNA from 1 species
UGCAGUAUUUAAAAAUACUACUUUAAAAGCUUGCCUUGUAUUUCAAGCCACUUGGAUGUGGAGCAUCAAUAUUCUUGUUUCUUUGUAUGCUUAUACAGAAAAAAGUAUCAACCUGAGGCCCCACAUCAUUUGCCCAUGUAUUAGAAAGCAAUCAUGAGGUACUUGGAAGGAAACCAUGAUCCAUUUCUGGCACCAAGUGGUGAUGGAAAAGGAGAAAAAAUGGAAAUACAAGCUGUGUGCAGUAUCUGCUCUGAGCUGUAAACAUCAAUGCGGAAUUUUUGGCAGAUGGCAUGGUUCUAUUUUGUUGGUUUUAAGAACUGAGGCCAUAAUUAAGAGGGAUGCUUGGGGGCAUUCCUAUUGUGUCACUAAAGGUGAAAUUCUUGGACCAGUGCAAGACCAGAGGGAAAGCAUUUGCCAAGAAUGUUUUCAUUAAUCAAGAAAAAAAGUCGGAGGUUCAAAGACGAUCAGACACUGUCGUAAUUCUGACCAUAAAUGAUGUUGACUGUGGAUGCAGCGGCGUUAUUCCCUUGAUCC